rnacentral:rRNA from 1 species
GAUGAACGCUGGCGGCGUGCUUAACACAUGCAAGUCGAACGAAGCGCCUCAGAUUGAUUUCUUCGGAAAGAUUUCUUUGGUGACUGAGUGGCGGACGGGUGAGUAACGCGUGGGUAACCUGCCUCAUACAGGGGGAUAACAGUUAGAAAUGACUGCUAAUACCGCAUAAGCGCACAGUGCCGCAUGGUACGGUGUGAAAAACUCCGGUGGUAUGAGAUGGACCCGCGUCUGAUUAGCUCGUUGGCGGGGUAACGGCCCACCAAGGCGACGAUCAGUAGCCGACCUGAGAGGGUGAUCGGCCACAUUGGGACUGAGACACGGCCCAAACUCCUACGGGAGGCAGCAGUGGGGAAUAUUGCACAAUGGGGGAAACCCUGAUGCAGCGACGCCGCGUGAAGGAAGACGUAUUUCGGAUGUAAACUUCUAUCAGCAAGGAAGAUGAUGACGGUACUUGACUAAGAAGCCCCGGNUAACUACGUGCCAGCAGCCG